AUACUGUCGCGCCGGUGGAAGACGGUCGCUACUUCGACUUGCGGCCGCGGCUCGCGCUGCGGGGCGAAGGCGUCGUUCCGCUCGGCGAAGGCAUG
rnacentral:tRNA from 1 species